rnacentral:lncRNA from 1 species
CAUGGACCGUUUUUGUUAAAACAGAAUGCUCAGAAUAUAUUUAGAAAGACAUAUUAACUACAUAAAAAAUUAAAAUUAUAUAAGGCAAAGUUUUCAUAAAGAAAGUAAAAAAUGUGAAUAGUUGAAUAAAUAAGGGGUAUUUCUCCCAGAGGAAAAAUGGUUUGGGAACUUCAGGGUAAAGAAUUGCACGGCUACAAUUUAAAAAUAAUUUACUUAGGUUGCAAUGAGCUGAGAUCACGCCACUGCACUCCAGCCUGAGCGACAGAGCGAGACUCUGUCUCAAAAAAAAAAAAAAAAUUACUUAAUGUAACUCCCAAAGAUCAAUGGGUAGCUAUAUAAUCAAACAAUAUUUUCUUAGUAUAAAAGAACUUUCUAAUAACUGGAGAUUCUAAAAAGUAGAA